UUACAAUGGAGAGUUUGAUCCUGGCUCAGGAUGAACGCUAGCGGCAGGCCUAAUACAUGCAAGUCGAACGGGAUUGUUGACUUCGGUUGACAUGAGAGUGGCGCACGGGUGCGUAACGCGUAUGCAACCUACCUUAUACAGGGGGAUAGCCCGGGGAAACCCGGAUUAAUACCCCAUGGUAUAUAUUGAUCGCAUGGUUAGUAUAUUAAAGAUUUAUCGGUAUAAGACGGGCAUGCGUAGGAUUAGCUAGUUGGUAAGGUAACGGCUUACCAAGGCGAUGAUCCUUAGGGGUUCUGAG
rnacentral:rRNA from 1 species